UACGUAGGGUGCAAGCGUUGUCCGGAAUUAUUGGGCGUAAAGAGCUCGUAGGCGGUCUGUCGCGUCGGCUGUGAAAACUCGGGGCUCAACUCCGAGCCUGCAGUCGAUACGGGCAGACUAGAGUGCUGUAGGGGAGACUGGAAUUCCUGGUGUAGCGGUGAAAUGCGCAGAUAUCAGGAAGAACACCCGUGGCGAAGGCGGUUCUCUGGGACGGUACUGACGCUGAGACGCGAAAGCGUGGGGAGCGAACAGG
rnacentral:rRNA from 1 species